GAUUAACGCUGGCGGCGUGCAUAACACAUGCAAGUCGAACGAAGUGGAGGACGGGUGAGUAACGCGUGCGUAACCUGCCUUAGAGAAGGGGAUAGCCUUUGGAAACGAAGAAUAAUACCCUAUGCUAUAAGAUGGACUUGCGUGUGAUUGGUUAGUUGGUGAGGUAACGGCGCACCAAGACAGCGAUCAGUAGCCGGCUUGAGAGAGUGUACGGCCACAUUGGGACUGAGACACGGCCCAGACUCUACGGGAGGCAGCAGUGGGGAAUCUUGCACAAUGGGGGAAACCCUGAUGCAGCGACGCCGCGUGAUUUAGAAGGCCGUCGGGUUGUAAAAAUCUUUUCUAUGGGAAGCAGUACCAUAGGAAUAAGGACCGGCUAAUUACGUGCCAGCAGCCGCGGUAAUUC
rnacentral:rRNA from 1 species